ensembl:lncRNA
AUAGGAGGAGGAGGAGGAGCAGUAGUAAUAAUAGUAGUAGUAAUAGGAGGAGGAGGAGGAGUAAUAGUGGUAAUAAUAGUAGUAGUAAUAGGAGUAGAGGAGGAGGAGGAGGAAUAGUGGUAAUAAUAGUAGUAGUAAUAGGAGGAGGAGGAGGAGGAAUAGUGGUAAUAGUAGUAGUAAUAGGAGGAGGAGGAGGAAUAGUGGUAAUAAUAGUAGUAGUAAUAGGAGGAGGAGGAGGAGUAAUAGUAGUAGUAAUAGGAGGAGAGGAGGAGUAAUAGUAGUAAUAAUAGUAGUAAUAGGAGGAGGAGGAGUAAUAGUGGUAAUAGUAGUAGUAGUAAUAGGAGGAGGAGGAGGAGGAGUAAUAGUGGUAAUAAUAGUAGUAGUAAUAGGAGGAGGAGGAGUAAUAGUGGUAAUAAUAGUAGUAAUAGGAGGAGGAGGAGGAGGAGUAAUAGGAGGAGGAGGAGGAAUAGUGGUAAUAAUAGUAGUAGUAAUAGGAGGAGGAGGAAUAGUGGUAAUAGUCGGAGGAGGAGGAGAAUAGUGGUAAUAGUAGUAGUAGGAGGAGGAGGAAUAGUGGUAAUAGUAGUAGUAGGAGGAGGAGGAAUAGUGGUAAUAGUAGUAAGUAGAAUAGGAGGAGGAGGAAUAGUGGUAAUAG